AAAAAAAAAGAGGGUGGAGACAACAAGAAGGAGAAAAUUGAGGAAGUAUUAAAAAAUACGGAGAAGAGAGAAAAAUAAGCAAACAAGAUUUUUUUAAAAAAAAAAAAAUAAAAGUAAGAAGAAGAAAAAAAGAGACAGUGAGAAUAAAAAAAGAGUUAGAAAAUUUUCAGAGAAAACUUCAAAAAUCAUAAAAUAAAAUAAAAAGCAAGAGAAGUUCUUUGGGUUUGGCAAUUCGAGUUCGGAUUUCGUUCGAAUUUUCUGGUGACGACAUUUUGAUUAUCAUCUUUGGUUAACUUAUCACACAGGUUCUACUUGAGAUCCUUUCUAUUUAUUUUAUAAGUUUUAUUAUGAAUCACAUAAUGAUCAAAGUUAUUUUAAUAAUUUCAUAAUUUAAGAUGUAAAGUUUAAUAUAUAUGUAGAGUUUUUUUUUUUGUUUUAUGUUUUUUUUUUGUAAUUUAUUUAUUGUAUUGAAUCAAAGAAAAAAUAUAAUCUUAAUUAGUUUGUCAGUGAUUGUCAAUUGCUAUGUUGUGACUUGUUUGCUUACUGUUCUCCGUGAAUCAUUUCGUUAAUUAUAAACAUUAAAGUUCUUGGAUGAUAAAAAGUGUAACGUUUUUCUUUUUAAAAAAUGUCAAUAUAUUAUUUUAUCAAUGUUUAUUUUUUUUAUGUUUAAUUAAUUAUGAAAGUUUUAUAGUGUAAUUAAUAAGGGAUUAAAAUAGAUAGGCGCAUGCACACUGAGAUC
rnacentral:lncRNA from 1 species